rnacentral:rRNA from 1 species
GACGUAGGGGGCGAGCGUUGUCCGGAUUUAUUGGGCGUAAAGCGCGCGUAGGCGGCCGCGCAAGUCGGAUGUGAAAACCCGGGCUCAACCCGGGCGUGCAUUCGAUACUGCGCGGCUCGAAGGCAGGAGAGGAAGUGGAAUUCCGGUGUAGUGGUGAAUGCGUAGAUAUCGGAGGAACACCAGUGGCGAAGCGACUCUGCCUGUUCUGACGCUGAGCGCGAAGCUAGGAGCAACAGG